UUAGAGUUCUGUUUACCUUCAGAUUGGCUCCACUAAGGAGAUACCUGUGGGAGCUUGAUGCUGCCCACAGAUAUGGUUCCAGAGUCAGAGAGAAAUGCAGUCUGAGACAGGUGGCAACCAGAGAUCCAGGACUACCUGCAGCCUCCUCAGCUGCACAUCUUCAGAUGCUGCAUUAUAUUUGAUGCCAAGAAAAGGCCAUGUGGAGCAAACAGAAGAUGGCGGCUCUGCACUAACCAGGAGGAGGACCCUCACCAGAGCCCAACCACCUUGGUAACCUAAGUUCAGAUUUCAGUCUCCAGAACCCGAGAAGGGAUUCCACUCAAAAUUACUGAGUCAGGUCAAAGAGCUUUCACACAAAGCUUCAGAAAAAAAAUUAAUAAACAGAAAAAAAUAAAAUUAAACUUGAGGCAUUUGUAAGAUGAAAAGCAUCAAGAUAAUCUAAUAGGGUCUGCCUAAGAAGGAAAAAAUCAACACGGGGGAAAAUAUUUAAAGAAAUACCAAUUGAAAUUUUCCAGAAUUAAAGAAACAUUAAGCUUUAAAAUUGAAGUGCAGAAAGCACUAAACAGGAGAGAUACAAAAAAAAAAAAAAAAAAAAAAAAA